GGUUCCAUGGUGUAAUGGUUGGCACUCGCACUCUGAACUCUGAAUCCAGUGAUCCGAGUUCAAAUCUUGGUGGAACCU